rnacentral:lncRNA from 12 species
GGAAAUUGUGGAGGAGGACUCACCAACUGAAGUGACAGCAUGAGUAAAAGGCAUUGGGCCAUAUGCACAGACCAUUUUUGAUGAGCAAUAAGCAGCCAUGUUGGUACUUGUAGAGGAGAUGUGUGAAAUGAGGCUGGAAAGGGAGGUGGUGCCAUAUGGCGGAGGCCCUGAAAGGCAAGGGUCCUGUGAUUUUAUUAACCUGGCUGAGUAUGGUUAUGAUGGAGUGGUUGCGGAACUGCAUGGUGGCUCAGAGGGGUACAUCUAGUUACUGAGGGCUGUAAUCUGGGUAUUUGGCUCCUGGAGGAACGCAGUCUUAAUCACAGGUAAAAUCCAACAACCUGCCAUCUCACAGCAUCUCAAAGGUGGUUCAUAGUCUGCCUGUGGGUCCAAUUCAUCUAAGGAAUCUGAACUCUGCCAAAAAUACAGAGGUCAAGGUGCA